GACGAACGCUGGCGGCGCGCUUAACACAUGCAAGUCGAGCGAGAACCAGUCCUUCGGGACUGGGGAAAGCGGCGAACGGGUGAGUAACACGUGGGUAACCAACCCUCGGUUGCGGGAUAGCUCGGGGAAACCCGGAUUAAUACCGCAUGGCCUCCCGGGUCUUCGGGUCCGGGAGAAAAGGUAUCUUCGGCCUCCGACCGAGGACGGGCCCGCGGCCGAUUAGCUUGUUGGCGGGGUAACGGCCCACCAAGGCGACAAUCGGUAGCUGGUCUGAGAGGACGAUCAGCCACACUGGGACUGAGACACGGCCCAGACUCCUACGGGAGGCAGCAGUGGGGAAUCUUGCGCAAUGGGCGAAAGCCUGACGCAGCGACGCCGCGUGCGGGAAGAAGGCCUUCGGGUUGUAAACCGCUUUCGGGAGGGACGAAGCCACUCGGGUGAAUAGCCCAGAGGGUGACGGUACCUCCAGAAGAAGCCCCGGCUAACUACGUGCCAGCAGCCGCGGUAAUAC
rnacentral:rRNA from 1 species